UGAAAUUGGUUAAGCUGAGAAAAGUUGUUGGGCUGAGCUUACAUACUAAACAUGCAUAUUUUAUGCAUGUAAUGCAUGACUGAAUUGAUUUAUAAAUGCAUGAUUGACAUGAACAUGAUGUGCAACUAAAACUGAGUAUGAUAGAGAGAAAUCUUACGAAUAUUGGUUCCUUAUACUGAAUCUGAAUUCGAGGAGAAAAGAUGAGGGUACUUGGUUUGCAUAUCUACUUCUGCUUCCC
rnacentral:lncRNA from 1 species